UUUUUGCGUUAGGGAUUGCAGUGGAAAUCCUUUUUGCGAGGAACCAGGAUCUUAAUCUGAGUUGAGCUCAAUUUAAAAACAAAGCCCGAAAUAUUAAAUCUCGAUUAUCUAGCAAAAAGAUUGCAACGUAAAGCCCGACCCGUU
rnacentral:sRNA from 1 species